GUUGAAACAUCGGUUCCCAUAUGAUCACCAAAGUUAAGCAAUAUCGAACAUGGCCAGUUCCUACAUGGGUGACCGCUUAGGAAUAAUAGGUGCUGUAAG